rnacentral:sRNA from 1 species
GGUGGCGGUCCUUGAGCUGGAAAGCAGGGACCCUGGCUUAUUGCGUGGCCCCCCCACCACCACCCCACGCCUUCCGUAGCACAAGCUUUAAUCAUUUACUAUGAAACCGGUGACUAAGGGAGAUACAGCGUGUUGAACCACUGAAGCACGCCCCCCCACACACACACCAGCUAGAAAAGGGAUACCCCGUCGGCUCUGGACCCGGCAAAUGUACCUGGGCUCCCCCUGGAGGCCACAUUCUCCGAGGUCCCCUUUCGGUCCCCAGUGUCCCUCAAAGGUAUUCCGUUGUAAUCCCGGAGAACUGAUACACCCUAGUGCUCUGAAACUUGGCCUGUGCUCGAGGCGGCAACCCCUGCCCCUCUGCCUGGCGAUGCCUGAACACACCCAUCUGGCCAGAUCCUGUUCACUGGCCAAGAAUGCAGCAUUGAACAUUGGGCACUGGGGCGGGGGUGCACUCCGCGCUGACACCGCACCCCUCCCCUCAACUUGCUGACUAGAGGAGGCCUGAACUCUCAAACUCCGAAUCUGAUUUCCACUCUCCCAGGAAGGCUUCGGAAAUCACUGUGGAUCGUCAAUACAGGAGUCCAUACUGACUCAAUCCCUAAUUUUGGCCUGUAUUCUUCUCCCUGUCUGAACCAUCUUCUUAGAAGGCACUGAACCAAGAGUGCCAGAAAACCAUCCCAAGACUCACAUAGUUGUUCCUCCAUAGUGGAUGUUUUGGCCACUGGACAUCAGAACCACAUAUUGGGUUUGAAGAAUCUUCUACAUGCCCAGAGGAGUAUGAUCAACUGAAUGGGGCUGGGGCGGAAGCCAGGAGCAGAGGGAGGAAAUGCCCCCAAGCUGGAGAGCCC